rnacentral:rRNA from 1 species
AGCCCUACGGGAGGCAGCAGUAGGGAAUAUUGCGCAAUGGGCGAAAGCCUGACGCAGCGACACCGUGUGUGGGAAGAAGGUCUUCGGAUCGUAAACCACUGUCAGUUGAAGACGAAGAAUGUAGAGUUAAGAGCUCGUAAGUUGACGGUAUUCAACGAGGAAGUCUCGGCUAACUCCGUGCCAGCAGCCGCGGUAAGACGGAGGAGGCUAGCAUUGUCCGGAAUUAUUGGGCGUAAAGAACACGUAGGCGGUUUUUUAAGUCGUAUGUGAAAACUUUGGGCUUAACUCAAAGAUUGCAUAUGAUACUGGAGAACUUGAGUACAGCAGAGGAAAGUGGAAUUCCUGGUGUAGCGGUGAAAUGCGCAGAUAUCAGGAAGAACACCAGUGGCGAAAGCGGCUUUCUGGACUGUUACUGACGCUGAGGUGUGAAAGCUAGGGGAGCAAACAGGAUUAGAUACCCUUGUAGUCUC